rnacentral:rRNA from 1 species
GACGAACGCUGGCGGCGCGCUUAACACAUGCAAGUCGAGCGAUGAAAUUUUGACAGAUCCCUUCGGGGUGAAGAUAAAAUGGAUUAGCGGCGGACGGGUGAGUAACACGUGAGUAACCUGCCUUAGACAUUGGGAUAGCCUCGGGAAACCGGGAUUAAUACCGAAUAAAAUCACAGAUACACAUGUAUCCAUGAUCAAAACUCCGGUGGUCUAAGAUGGACUCGCGUCCCAUUAGCUAGUUGGUGAGGUAACGGCCCACCAAGGCGACGAUGGGUAGCCGGCCUGAGAGGGUGAACGGCCACAUUGGAACUGAGAAACGGUCCAAACUCCUACGGGAGGCAGCAGUGGGGAAUAUUGCACAAUGGAGGGAACUCUGAUGCAGCGACGCCGCGUGAACGAAGAAGGCUUUCGAGUCGUAAAGUUCUUUUAUAUGGGAAGAUAAUGACGGUACCAUAAGAAAAAGCCCCGGCUAACUACGUGCCAGCAGCCGCGGUAAUACGUAGGGGGCUAGCGUUGUCCGGAAUCACUGGGCGUAAAGGGUUCGCAGGCGGAAAUGCAAGUCAGAUGUAAAAGGCAGUAGCUUAACUACUGUAAGCAUUUGAAACUGCAUAUCUUGAGAAGAGUAGAGGUAAGUGGAAUUUUUAGUGUAGCGGUGAAAUGCGUAGAUAUUAAAAAGAAUACCGGUGGCGAAGGCGACUUACUGGGCUCAUUCUGACGCUGAGGGACGAAAGCGUGGGUAGCAAACAGG